rnacentral:rRNA from 1 species
AGAGUUUGAUCCUGGCUCAGGACGAACGCUGGCGGCGUGCUUAACACAUGCAAGUCGAACGGAAAGGCCCUGCUUUUGUGGGGUGCUCGAGUGGCGAACGGGUGAGUAACACGUGAGUAACCUGCCCUUGACUUUGGGAUAACUUCAGGAAACUGGGGCUAAUACCGGAUAGGAGCUCCUGCUGCAUGGUGGGGGUUGGAAAGUUUCGGCGGUUGGGGAUGGACUCGCGGCUUAUCAGCUUGUUGGUGGGGUAGUGGCUUACCAAGGCUUUGACGGGUAGCCGGCCUGAGAGGGUGACCGGCCACAUUGGGACUGAGAUACGGCCCAGACUCCUACGGGAGGCAGCAGUGGGGAAUAUUGCACAAUGGGCGGAAGCCUGAUGCAGCAACGCCGCGUGCGGGAUGACGGCCUUCGGGUUGUAAACCGCUUUCGCCUGUGACGAAGCGUGAG